rnacentral:rRNA from 1 species
GACGAACGCUGGCGGCGUGCUUAACACAUGCCAGUCGAACGGAAAGGCCCUGCUUUUGUGGGGUGCUCGAGUGGCGAACGGGUGAGUAACACGUGAGUAACCUGCCCUUGACUUUGGGAUAACUUCAGGAAACUGGGGCUAAUACCGGAUAGGAGCUCCUGCUGCAUGGUGGGGGUUGGAAAGUUUCGGCGGUUGGGGAUGGACUCGCGGCUUAUCAGCUUGUUGGUGGGGUAGUGGCUUACCAAGGCUUUGACGGGUAGCCGGCCUGAGAGGGUGACCGGCCACAUGGGGACUGAGAUACGGCCCAGACUCCUACGGGAGGAAGCAGUGGGGAAUAUUGCACAAUGGGCGGAAGCCGGAUGCAGCAACGCCGCGUGCGGGAGGACGGCCUUCGGGUGGUAAACCGCUUUCGCCUGUGACGAAGCGUGAGUGACGGUAAUGGGGAAAGAAGCACCGGCUAACUACGU